GUGUCAGCAGCCGCGGUAAGACGAACCGAGCGAACGUUGUUCGGAAUCACUGGGCUUAAAGGGCGCGUAGGCGGGCGGCUAAGUCCGCGGUGAAAUCCUCCAGCUCAACUGGAGAACUGCCGCGGAUACUGGUCGUCUCGAGGAACGUAGGGGUAUGCGGAACUAUCGGUGGAGCGGUGAAAUGCGUUGAUAUCGAUAGGAACUCCGGUGGCGAAGGCGGCAUACUGGACGUUUUCUGACGCUGAGGCGCGAAAGCCAGGGGAGCAAACGGGAUUAGAAACCCCUGUAGUCC
rnacentral:rRNA from 1 species